rnacentral:antisense_RNA from 4 species
CUUGAUGGUGGCCAUGCGCAGGGCACUUUCGAGUGCGCCGGGUUCCUAGUUACCGGUCUACCAACCCGCGUAUUGGCCGCCACCCUU